rnacentral:rRNA from 1 species
AUUGAACGCUGGCGGCAGGCUUAACACAUGCAAGUCGAACGAGUGGCGGACGGGUGAGUAAUGCUUGGGAAUCUGGCUUAUGGAGGGGGAUAACGACGGGAAACUGUCGCUAAUACCGCGUACCAUAGGAUGAGCCCAAGUGGGAUUAGGUAGUUGGUGGGGUAAUGGCCUACCAAGCCGACGAUCUCUAGCUGGUCUGAGAGGAUGACCAGGAACACCGGGACGGAGACAGGGCCCGGACUCCGACGGGAGGAAGCAGUGGGGAAUAGUGGGAAAUGGGGGAAAGCGGAGGCAGCAAUGCCGCGUGAAUGAAGAAGGCCUUCGGGUGGUAAAGUUCUUUAAGUGACGAGGCGUUAAUAACAGAAGAAGCACCGGCUAACUCCGUGCCAGCAGCCGCGGUAAUAC